rnacentral:rRNA from 1 species
AUGGCUGCCGCGAGUUUCAUCAAGGCGCCCGCCGGGCAGAAUCCCAGGCUGGCAAUCCACGCUCCGGGGAGGAGCGGCCGCGUGGUCAGGUGCUCGCUUGGCGCGGCCGUCGGCGGCCGGACCGAGUGGCUCAGCAGCUGCGCCGUCCUCUCCAGCAAGGUGGCCGCGCUCGGCCCCCACUCCGUCAACGGCCACGCCGCGCCGGCGCCGGCCCCCAACGGGGCGGUGCUCGAUUUGAUCCCCGUGAGCGGUGUUAACGGCGUUGCCAAGAACCUGCCGGCGCCGCUGCGGAUCGCCGACCUGUCCCCGGCGCCGAUGCACGGCUCGGAGCUGCGCGUGGCGUACCAGGGCGUGCCGGGCGCGUACAGCGAGAAGGCGGCCGGCAAGGCCUACCCGGGCUGCGACGCCAUCCCCUGCGACCAGUUCGAGGUGGCGUUCCAGGCCGUGGAGCUCUGGAUCGCGGACCGCGCCGUGCUCCCCGUGGAGAACUCGCUCGGCGGCAGCAUCCACCGCAACUACGACCUCCUGCUCCGCCACCGCCUCCACAUCGUGGGCGAGGUGCAGCUCCCCGUGCACCACUGCCUCCUGGCUCUCCCGGGCGUGCGCAAGGAGAACAUCACCCGCGUGAUCAGCCACCCGCAGGCGCUGGCGCAGUGCGAGCACACCAUCACCCGCAUGGGCCUCAACGUCGUCCGCGAGGCCUUCGACGACACCGCCGGCGCCGCCGAGUACGUGGCCAACAACGGCCUCCGCGACACGGCCGCCAUCGCGUCGUCCCGCGCCGCCGAGCUGUACGGCAUGGAGAUCCUCGCGGACGGCAUCCAGGACGACUGCGGCAACGUGACCCGGUUCGUGAUGCUGGCCAGGGAGCCCAUCGUGCCGCGUACGGACCGGCCGUUCAAGACCAGCAUCGUGUUCGCGCACGACAAGGAGGGCACCUCCGUGCUCUUCAAGGUGCUCUCCGCCUUCGCCUUCCGCGACAUCACGCUGACCAAGAUCGAGAGCCGGCCGCACCGCCACCGCCCCAUCCGCCUGGUGGACGACGCCAACCGCGGCACGGCGAAGCAUUUCGAGUACAUGUUCUACGUGGACUUCCAGGCGUCCCUGGCGGAGCCGCGGGCGCAGAACGCGCUGGCCGAGGUCCAGGAGUUCACGUCGUUCCUGCGGGUGCUCGGGAGCUACCCGAUGGACAUGACCCCUAUGACCGCCGGCUCCUCCUCCACCGUCACAUCGUCCGACUCGUAG